UAAUACGUAGGUGACAAGCGUUGUCCGGAUUUACUGGGCGUAAAGAGCGCGCAGGCGGUCGAUCAAGUCGAGUGUGAAAGCCCCCGGCUCAACUGGGGAGGGUCAUUCGAAACUGGUCGACUCGAAGGCAGGAGAGGGUAGUGGAAUUCCCGGUGUAGUGGUGAAAUGCGUAGAUAUCGGGAGGAACACCAGUGGCGAAGGCGACUACCUGGCCUGUUCUUGACGCUGAGGCGCGAAAGCUAGGGGAGCAAACGGGAUUAGAUACCCCGGUA
rnacentral:rRNA from 1 species